CAAGUCAACCAGCGGUUUUCCUCGUGCCUAUUUUUCCCCGGUCUCUGUUUGUUUCUAGUCCUCCUGGUUUCAACCCGUGCCUGUCCUGACUCCAAACCCGCCUGCCUGACCACCAGCCUGUCUAUCUCCUUGUACUGUUUUGGACUCGGAUAUGGUUUCUGACCCCUGCUUGGCCUGACCUUGAGACUGCCUAUUGUCUGGUACUGUUUGGACUCUGACCUGGUUUAUGAACUCUCACCUGUCCCCUGCCUUUGCCUACUCCCUUUGUAAUAAUAACUAUAUCGGAGCUCUACCAUCUGCCUCCUGUGUCUGCAUUUGGGUGUCGCCUUGUGCCCUUAUACAGACAGUUUGGCUUGACAGGCUUUAAAAUAGUAGGCACAUUACUGUCAGUAUAACAAUGGCAAGUGGGACUGAUUUGAUGGUUAACGAGAGGGAACCACAUAAAACAGAGGUUGACCCACCGCCAGUAUUCUGAAUGAGUGUAACUGUAAUGACACGUCAACCACCCUCCUGCUGAGAGGAAAAAGGCCCCAGUUUUCUUGAAAGCACCAUAAAUCCAGAAAAUGCCAGACUAUGAAGACAAAGUUUGAUGACAUAAUUUGCCCACGAAGUACCGCCGCGCUACCUUCCUGUUCAAGUGAGCACAGCACAACAAAAUGUGUCCUGCUACGACGAGUCUGCAGAGGCCGCGAUUACCGCAUCGGAACCCCAUGAUACCAACGCCGAAGCGAAGAGCACUCCAUUCCAAACAACUAUGAACUUUAACGUGUGUGAGUGGGCCCGGGCCUUUCCUUAUGUUUUGUUCUGUGUUGUUUUUAAUCCUGUAAACCCAUUUUAAUACUAAGAAAAUAAAGACACA